rnacentral:rRNA from 1 species
UACGUAGGUGGCAAGCGUUAUCCGGAAUUAUUGGGCGUAAAGCGCGCGCAGGCGGUUUCUUAAGUCUGAUGUGAAAGCCCACGGCUCAACCGUGGAGGGUCAUUGGAAACUGGGGAACUUGAGUGCAGAAGAGAAAAGCGGAAUUCCACGUGUAGCGGUGAAAUGCGUAGAGAUGUGGAGGAACACCAGUGGCGAAGGCGACUUUCUGGUCUGUAACUGACACUGAGGCGCGAAAGCGUGGGGAGCAAACAGG